rfam:Brassica oleracea var. oleracea cultivar TO1000 chromosome C1, whole genome shotgun sequence
CGCAGUUCAUCACUAAUGCAUCGGAUCCCAUCAGAAUUCCGCAGUGAAGCGUGGUUGGACGAGAGUAGUACUAGGAUGGGUGAUUUCUCGGGAAGUCCUCGUGUUGCAC